rnacentral:rRNA from 1 species
UUCAAACGAGAGUUUGAUCCUGGCUCAGAAUCAACGCUGGCGGCGUGCCUAACACAUGCAAGUCGAACGGGAAAGUGGAGCAAUCCACGAGUAUAGUGGCGAACGGGUGAGUAACACGUGACUACCUGCCUUCGAGUGGGGGAUAACCCCGGGAAACCGGGGCUAAUACCGCAUAACAUCGCAAGAUCAAAGCAGUAAUGCGCUGGAAGAGGGGGUCGCGGCUGAUUAGCUAGUUGGUAGGGUAAUGGCCUACCAAGGCGAAGAUCGGUAGCCGGCCUGAGAGGGCGCACGGCCACACU